rnacentral:rRNA from 1 species
CCUACGGGAGGCAGCAGUGGGGAAUAUUGGACAAUGGGGGCAACCCUGAUCCAGCCAUGCCGCGUGUGUGAAGAAGGCCCUCGGGUUGUAAAGCACUUUCAGCGAGGAAGAACGCCUGGCGGUUAAUACCCGCCAGGAAAGACAUCACUCGCAGAAGAAGCACCGGCUAACUCCGUGCCAGCAGCCGCGGUAAUACGGAGGGUGCAAGCGUUAAUCGGAAUUACUGGGCGUAAAGCGCGCGUAGGUGGCUUGAUAAGCCGGUUGUGAAAGCCCCGGGCUCAACCUGGGAACGGCAUCCGGAACUGUCAGGCUAGAGUGCAGGAGAGGAAGGUAGAAUUCCCGGUGUAGCGGUGAAAUGCGUAGAGAUCGGGAGGAAUACCAGUGGCGAAGGCGGCCUUCUGGACUGACACUGACACUGAGGUGCGAAAGCGUGGGUAGCAAACAGGAUUAGAUACCCUGGUAGUCCACGCCGUAAACGAUGUCGACCAGCCGUUGGGUGCCUAGCCACUUUGUGCGAU